CCGCUGAUGGCACAAUGGUUAAGUGCUUUGGCUGCUAACUGAAAGACUGGUGGUUUGAACCCACCCAGCGGU
rnacentral:tRNA from 1 species